AUUGAACGCUGGCGGCAUGCCUUACACAUGCAAGUCGAACGGUAACAGGUCUUCGGAUGCUGACGAGUGGCGAACGGGUGAGUAAUACAUCGGAACGUGCCUAGUAGUGGGGGAUAACUACUCGAAAGAGUGGCUAAUACCGCAUGAGAUCUACGGAUGAAAGCAGGGGAUCGCAAGACCUCGUGCUACUAGAGCGGCCGAUGGAAGAUUAGGUAGUUGGUGGGAUAAAAGCUUAACAAGCCGACGAUCUGUAGCUGGUCUGAGAGGACGAUCAGCCACACUGGGACUGCGACACGGCCCAGACUCCUACGGGAGGCAGCAGUGGGGAAUUUUGGACAAUGGGCGCAAGCCUGAUCCAGCAAUGCCGCGUGCAGGAUGAAGGCCUUCGGGUUGUAAACUGCUUUUGUACGGAACGAAAAGCCCUGGGUUAAUACCCUGGGGUCAUGACGGUACCGUAAGAAUAAGCACCGGCUAACUACGUGCCAGCCGCCGCCGUAAUAC
rnacentral:rRNA from 1 species